AGCAGCCGCGGUAAUUCCAGCUCCAAUAGCGUAUAUUAAAGUUGUUGCAGUUAAAAAGCUCGUAGUUGAAUUUCGAGAUCAAAUUGUUGGUCGUGCCUUGGUACGCACUGGCAUUAUUGGUUUCUCCCUUCUGAAGAACCAUGAUGUCAUUAAUUUGGUGUCAUGGGGUAUCAGGACUGUUACUUUGAAAAAUUAGAGUGUUUAAAGCAGGCUCGCGCUUGAAUACAUUAGCAUGGAAUAAUGAAAUAGGACGUUUGAUUCUAUUUUGUUGGUUUCUAGGAUCGACGUAAUGAUUAAUAGGGAUAGUUGGGGCAUUAGUAUUCAAUUGUCAGAGGUGAAAUUC
rnacentral:rRNA from 1 species